UACGUAGGGUGCGAGCGUUGUCCGGAAUCAUUGGGCGUAAAGCGCGUGUAGGCGGCCCGGUAAGUCCGCUGUGAAAGUCCAGGGCUCAACCCUGGGAUGCCGGUGGAUACUGUCGGGCUCGAGUCCGGAAGAGGCGAGUGGAAUUCCUGGUGUAGCGGUGAGAUGCGCAGAUAUCAGGAGGAACACCAAUGGCGAAGGCAGCUCGCUGGGACGUGACUGACGCUGAGACGCGAAAGCGUGGGGAGCAAACAGG
rnacentral:rRNA from 1 species